GGGUAGCUACGUAUGGAUUAGAUAAUCGCUGAAAGCAUCUAAGUGAGAAACUAACCUCGAGAUGAGAUUUCCCAUUCGUCAGAAGUAAGACCCCUGAGAGACGAUCAGGUAGAUAGGCUAGAAGUGGAAGUGUAGUGAUGCAUGGAGCGGACUAGUACUAAUAGGUCGAGGACUUAACCAAG
rnacentral:rRNA from 1 species